GAUUAGAGUUUGAUCAUGGCUCAGAUUGAACGCUGGCGGCAUGCCUUACACAUGCAAGUCGAACGGCAGCAUGGAGGAGCUUGCUCCUCUGAUGGCGAGUGGCGAACGGGUGAGUAAAGCAUCGGAACGUCCCGUGUAGUGGGGGAUAACGUAGCGAAAGUUACGCUAAUACCGCAUACGCACUGAGGUGGAAAGCAGGGGAUCGCAAGACCUUGCGCUAUACGAGCGGCCGAUGUCAGAUUAGCUAGUUGGUAGGGUAAAGGCCUACCAAGGCGACGAUCUGUAGCGGGUCUGAGAGGAUGAUCCGCCACACUGGGACUGAGACACGGCCCAGACUCCUACGGGAGGCAGCAGUGGGGAAUUUUGGACAAUGGGGGAAACCCUGAUCCAGCCAUGCCGCGUGAGUGAAGAAGGCCUUCGGGUUGUAAAGCUCUUUCGGCUGGGAAGAAAUCGCACAGGCUAAUACUCUGUGUGGAUGACGGUACCAGCAUAAGAGCACCG
rnacentral:rRNA from 1 species